rnacentral:rRNA from 1 species
CGGACCAGCAAGUUAGGGGUGAAAUCCCGGGGCUCAACCCCGAGACUGCCUUUAAAACUGUUGGUCUGGAGUGCGAGAGAGGUGAGUGGAAUUCCGAGUGUAGAGGUGAAAUUCGUAGAUAUUCGGAGGAACACCAGUGGCGAAGGCGGCUCACUGGCUCGAUACUGACGCUGAGGUGCGAAAGCGUGGGGAGCAAACA